UACGUAGGCAGCGAGCGUUGUUCGGAGUUACUGGGCGUAAAGGGUGUGUAGGCGGUUGUUUUAAGUUUGGUGUGAAAUCUCCCGGCUCAACCUGGGAGGGUGCGCCGAAUACUGAAUGACUAGAGUGCGGGAGAGGAAAGUGGAAUUCCUGGUGUAGCGGUGAAAUGCGUAGAUAUCGGGAGGAACACCAGUGGCGAAGGCGACUACCUGGCCUGUUCUUGACGCUGAGGCGCGAAAGCUAGGGGAGCAAACGGGG
rnacentral:rRNA from 1 species